GACGAACGCUGGCGGCGUGCUUAACACAUGCAAGUCGAACGGAAAGACCCUGCUUUUGUGGGGUUCUCGAGUGGCGAACGGGUGAGUAACACGUGAGUAACCUGUCCUUGACUGUGGGAUAACUUCAGGAAACUGGGGCUAAUAUCGGAUAGGAGCUACUGCUGCAUGGUGGGGGUUGGAAAGUUUCGGCGGUUGGGGAUGGACUCGCGGCUUAUCAGCUUGUUAGUGGGGUAGUGGCUUACCAAGGGUUUGACGGGUAGCCGGCAUGAGAGGGUGAACGGCGACAUGGGGACUGAGGUACGGAGCAGACGCCUACGGGAGGCAGCAGUGGGGAAUAUUGCGCAAUGGGCGGAAGCCUGAUGCAGCGACGCCGCGUGCGGGAUGACGGGCUUCGGGUUGAAAACCGCUUUCGCAUGUGACGAAGCGUGAGUGACGGUAAUGGGUAAAGAAGCAACGGCUAACUACGUG
rnacentral:rRNA from 1 species